rnacentral:rRNA from 1 species
UGAAGGAACGUUUAAGACUAAGACGUUGAUAGGCUGGGUGUGUAAGUGCAGCGAUGCAUUGAGCUAACCAGUACUAAUGAUCCGUGAGGCUUAACCUU